ACUCCCCAUUUUAGGACCCACCGAUUGGACCACUCGGGCACAUAAAAUCCCUAUUGGGCAGACUAGACAGAUGUAACUCCCCACUCGAAAAGACUUGCCUAGAGAGUUAGGGGACUUGUUGACGCUCGGUAUAUGCCGAGCCCGUCUGCCCAAUAAAAAUAGAACACGUGGACCGCUACCAAACCACUCUCCACCUCAACCUCGGAGCUACCUUAUGGAAACUCAAAAGGGUAUGAAUUAGCCACGUCAACGACAAGACCUCCCAUGACAAACAAGUUUACC
rnacentral:lncRNA from 1 species